rnacentral:lncRNA from 1 species
GAGAUCAGAGAGAGCAAGCUCCAGCUAGACCAGCAGGAAAUGGUGUUUCAAAAACUCCAGAAAGAAAGAGAAAGUGAGGAGCAGAAGUUAGUGGCUAGCAUAGUGUCGCUGGAGCAGCAGCAGGGACAGCUGGAGAGGGAGCUGAUGGACCAGAAAAGCAAGCUGGAGUGGCUGCUCACAGACGUGUCGGCCGCUGAAGGACGCCUCAGGACCCUGCAGAAAGAGGAGCGGUGCACUGAGAGCCUGGAGAAGAUGCUGUCCCAGGCCAAACAGCAGCUUUCAGAGCGGGAGCAGCAGCUGAUGGAGAAGUCGGGUGACCUGCUGGCCCUGCAGAAAGAGGCCGAUGGCAUGAGGGCAGACUUCAGCCUACUGAGAAACCAGUUCUUAACAGAAAGGAAGAAGGCAGAGAAGCAGGUGGCUGGGCUGAAGGAGGCACUGAAGAUCCAGCGGAGCCAGCUGGAGAAGAACCUUCUGAAACAGGAGAACAGCUGCAUGCAAAAGGAAAUGGCGACAAUUGAACUGGUAGCCCAGGACAACCACGAGAGGGCCAGGCGCCUCAUGAAGGAGCUCCGUCAGAUGCAGCAGGAAUACCUGGAGCUCAAGAAACAGGUGGCAAACCAGAAAGACUUCGAGAGGAGGCAGAUGGAGGUCAGCAAUGCAAUGAGGACACUGAAGUCUGAGGUGAAAGACGAAAUCAGAACCAGUCUGAGGAA